rnacentral:lncRNA from 1 species
AAAGUGGCUUAAUAAAAUCCUGGCCAACGGGCCACUUCAGAUUGGAUGAAUCCUAGCAAAAGAAAUACACAGAAAAGAGAAAUAAGGAUCUCACUCUGUCACCGAGGCUAAAGUGCAGUGGAUAAUUGGCAAGCCACGUGUAGAAGAAUGAAACUGGAUCCACAUCUCUCACCUUAUACAAAAAUCAACUCAAGAGGGAUCAAAGACUUAAGUCUAAGACCUUAUACCAUAAAGUUGUAGAAGAUAACAUCAGAAAAACACUUCUAGACGUUGGUUUGGGCAGAGUUCAUGACCAAGGACCCAAAAUCACAUGAAAUAAAUAAAUAAAUAAAUAAAUAAAUAAAUAAAUAAAUAAAACCUAAUUAAAAUAAAAAGCUUCUGCACAGCAAAAGAAAUACUCAGCAGAGUACACAGACAACCCACAGAGUGGGAGAAAAUAUUCACAAACUAUGCAUCUGACCAAGAACUAAUAUCCAGAAUCUACAAGGAACUAAAACAAAUCAGGAAGAGAAAAACAAAUAAUGCCAUCAAAAAGUGGGCACAGGAUAUGAAUAGACAGUUCUCAAAGUACAUACACAAAUGGCCAACACACAAAAAAAUGCUCAACAUCUCUAAUUAUCAGGGAAAUGGAGAUGAAAUACCACCUUACUCCUGUAAGCCACAGGUUUUAGAUGGAUAUUGAAAGUGCAGACUUUGACAUGUUGUAUUUAAGUGAUAACAACAUAUAGGUAAUUUCAAAAUUCAAUGAAAUCACACAGGAUGUGAGUGUAGGUAGAGAUUAAAAAAAAGGUGUUAUGGUCUGAAUGCUUCCCCUCCAAAAUUCAGGUGUUGUCAAUAUGAUAGCAGUAAGGGGUAGGGUCUUUAAGAGGGGAUAGGGCCAUGAGGACUCCUCUUCUAUGGAAGGGAGUAGGUGCCUUUAUAAGAAGAAUUGACAGAAGGAGCUUGUCCUAGCUGCCCUUCCACCUACUGCCAUGUGAAGAUGACACAAGAAGGCCAUCACCAGAUGCUGGUGCCUUCACUUUGAACUUUGCAGCCUCUAGAGCUGUGAGAAAACAAAUUUCUGUUCUGUGUAAAUUACCCAGUCUCAUUGUUUUGUUGUAGUAGCACAAAUUAACCAGACAAAGAGAUUCAAGCACUGAACUCUGAGGUAUUCCAAUAUUCAAUACCCAAUUUUUGGAUUAGAAAAUGGAGAAAAAUCUAGCUAAAUAUUUUGAGUGAGACUACGUAGUGAGGCAAUUCAAAUGCCUAGAGAGAAUGACAUAAUUUAAAGUAAAAAGAGAAAGGAAGAGCAGAUAAGUAUCUGUUUCAAGACUCAGGCAGCAAACAUUAGUGUGGUAGCAUUGUCAGGUAAGAUGAGGACAGGUAAUUAAUCAUACAGAAGGAAUAAAACAGUGUCAAUACAAAUAACCGUUUUGAAAAAUUUGCAAUUAAUGAUAGAAGAUAAAUUGGAGAAUAGAUAGAAAUAUUAGGUCAGGAUACUUGAAGAUGGGUGAUAUACAUCUCAUUUUGAAGAAAAGAAAGAAUUAGAAGACGCUUUUCAAAGUAAGGAAGAACAGUGACUCAAUUAUAAGAGCAAGAUUCAGGCCCAGCGCAUUGGCUCAUGCCUGUAAUCCCAGUAAUUUGGGAGGCCGAGGCAGGAGGAUCAUUUGAGUCCAGGAGUUUGAGACCAACCUGGACCACAUAGCAAAAUCCAGUACCUACUUAAAAUACAAAAACUAUCAUGGUGUGGUCAUGGGCGCCUGUAGUCCCAGCUACUCAGGAGGCUGAGGUGUGAAUAUUGCUUGAGGCUAGGAGGCAGAGAUUAGCCCUAACCUCAUCAUUAUAGCAGAAAACCAGUAAAAUUAGUUCAAAAUUAUAAUUUUAAAAAACAGUAAAAGCAUAUUAUUUAGACAUAUGAAGGACUCUACCUAAAAGAACUGCUAAAAAUAAAUGUAAUGGUUUCUGAGGGUCAAACCAGGAAUUUAAU